AAGUGGUGUUGUGGUCCUAAUUUCAUGAAUAUGUCUAAGUGCUCGUUUGAGCGUAAGUUAUGAACCGGGCAUGUGAUAAGUGUGCGAAUCAUUAUCAUGGGACUCGAGGAAACUAGGUAUGUAUGUCGGGUAGGAAUCUUUAAUAAGGAUGGUUUACUCUUGGGACCGGCCGGCUCGAGUUGUGAAUUAUCUUAGAUGGGAUUCUUGUGCCCGGAUACGGAAGAGAUGAGAGCCUAGGUAGGCAAUUUGGGCUAGUCAUUUGCUUGAUCCGUUGGGUACCUUAGAUUUGAGGGAUUCCGCUGAUAAGGAAUUUCGAGGACGAAAUUCUUUUAAGGGGGGGAGAGUGUGAGAACCCGUAAAACCCUAAUAUUUUUCCUAGGGUUUAUUUCCCCUUAAUUGCAUGUUUUCUGCAUUUUCUGGCUUAGGAAUAUUUUCCUGGUGAAUUUUAUGAGUAAUUAUAGUUUUAAGAUGAGUUUUCUCGUAUUGGAUAGUUUUUAGAAAAUUAAGAAUAUAUAUUGGACGUGGGACCCACGAGUGCGAAAAAGUUCGGGAAAAUUCGGCCAAUACGGUUAAGUUUCGGAUACUGUGGAAAAGUUAUCGGAUGUUACGAGAUAAGUAGAGAGUGAGAUUUGAUUGAUGUGAGAGAGAAAAGAAAGGAUAGGAAUGCAUUUAUUAGAGUGCCAAGUGUCAAUUUUCCAUUGGUUUGACUUUAAGAGUUACUAUUCACUAUUUUGACCUUUGACCAAAAUU
rnacentral:lncRNA from 1 species